rnacentral:rRNA from 1 species
GUCCACGCCGUAAACGAUGGAUACUAGCUGUUGGGGCAACUUCAGUGGCUAAGCGAAAGUGAUAAGUAUCCCACCUGGGGAGUACGUUCGCAAGAAUGAAACUCAAAGGAAUUGACGGGGCCCGCACAAGCGGUGGAGCAUGUGGUUUAAUUCGAUGAUACGCGAGGAACCUUACCAAGGCUUAAAUGUAGACUGACCGGUUUGGAAACAGACCUUUCGCAAGACAGUUUACAAGGUGCUGCAUGGUUGUCGU